CCUACGUGAGACAGCAGUGGGGGAUAUUGCACAAUGGGGGAAACCCUGAUGCAGCGACGCCGCGUGGGCGAAGAAGUAUUUCGGUAUGUAAAGCCCUAUCAGCAGGGAAGAAGAAAUGACGGUACCUGAGUAAGAAGCACCGGCUAAAUACGUGCCAGCAGCCGCGGUAAUACGUAUGGUGCAAGCGUUAUCCGGAUGUACUGGGUGUAAAGGGAGCGCAGGCGGCACGGCAAGCCUGAUGUGAAAGCCCGCGGCCCAACCGCGGGACUGCAUUGGGAACUACCGGGCUGGAGUGCCGGAGAGGUAGGCGGAAUUCCUAGUGUAGCGGUGAAAUGCGGAGAUAUUAGGAGGAACACCAGUGGCGAAGGCGGCCUGCUGGACAUUAACUGACGCUGAGGCGCGAAAGCGUGGGGAGCAAACAGGAUUAGAUACCCGGGUAGUC
rnacentral:rRNA from 1 species